GGAUUUGAUCCUGGUCCAGGAUGAACGCUGGCGGCGUGGAUAAGGCAUGCAAGUCGAGCGGUGUAAGCCCGCAAGGGUUUACGCAGCGGCGAACGAGUUAGUAACACCUUGGUACGUACCCCGAAGUCGGAGAUAGCCCCGCGAAAGCGGGGGUAAUACCCGAUAGUCUCGCAAGAGUAAACCCGCAAGGGGCUUUGGGAGCGGCCUAGGUCUGAUCAGCUAGUUGGUAGGGUAACGGCCUACCAAGGCUAUGACCAGUAGGGGACCUGAGAGGGUGACCCCCAACGACGGGACUGAGACACGGCCCGUACUCCUACGGGAGGCAGCAGUCGAGAAUAUUCGACAAUGGACGAAAGUCUGAUCGAGCGACGCCGCGUGCAGGAUGAAGGGCUUCGGUCUGUAAACUGCUUUUCUGCCUUAGAAAGUUAUUGAUCACGGCAGGAAUAAGGAGCGGCUAACUUCGUGCCAGCAGCAGCGGUAAUACGAAGGCUCCAAGCGUUAUCCGGAUUUAUUGGGCGUAAAGAGCGCGUAGGUGGUUUUGUGCGUCCGCUGUUAAAUUCUGGAGCUUAACUUCAGAGCCGCAGCGGAUACGGCAAAACUCGAGGAUGCUAGAGGUAACUGGAACAUAUGGUGUAGGGGUGAAAUCCGUUGAUAUCAUAUGGAACACCAAAGGCGAAGGCAUGUUACUGGAGCAUUCCUGACACUCAGUGCGCGAAAGCGUGGGCAGAAAAAAGGAUUAGAUACCCUUGUAUUCCACGCCCUAAACUAUGUCUACUAGCUGUUCCGAGUAUCGACCCUCGGAGUGGCCAAGCUAACGCGUUAAGUAGACCGCCUGGGAAGUACGGCCGCAAGGCUAAAACUCAAAGGAAUAGACGGGGACUCGCACAAGCAGUGGUUCAUGAGGUUUAAUUCGAUACUACACGAAGAACCUUACCAGGGUUAGAAAUCUAAGCGAAGACUCGCAGAAACGCGGGUCGUCUCUCAAGGACGCUUGGACAGGUGCUGCAUGGUUGUCGUCAGCUCGUAUCGUGAGACGUUCCCUUAAGUGGGUUAACGAGCGCAACCCCUAUUUUGUGUUACAUGUGUCACAAAAGACCGCCCCCGCUAAAGCUAAUAAUUCAUAUUGUUGGUUUUAGCGGGGGAGGAAGGUGGGGAUGACGUCAAAUCCGCAUGGCCCUCUGAUACCCUGGGCUACACUCAUGAAACAAUGGCCAAUACAAAGGGUUGCCAAGCCGUAAGGCGGAGCUAAUCCCAAAAAAUUGGCCCCAGUUCAGAUUGAGGGCUGCAAUUCGCCCUCAUGAAGUAGGAAUUGCUAGUAAUCGUGGGUCAGCUAUACCACGGUGAAUACGUUCUCGAGUCCUGUACUCACAAAUAAAUGCGCCCGGCAGCGCAUAGUUCUCGGUGGUUUAAAUCCACCCCUCUUCUUCGUCGGAAGAGCGUAGUUGAAGGAUAGUCGUUAAUCGCAAGAG
rnacentral:rRNA from 1 species